GCUCAAAGGAAGAGGAGGUGACGCAGUAGAGACAAUGUCUGUGUUACUAGCUACAGGUGACAGUGUAGCAGGUUUAGAUUCUGUAUUUGCAACGGAUGCUGCAUCUUGAGACACGGUGCUUGCAGGAUAUCUUUCUGCACUAGCACUUUCAGAGCCAUUGACUAGCCCUGAACCCCUGGGUGCAGAACUAGUGAAGGGUAUGUCAG
rnacentral:misc_RNA from 1 species